GACGAACGCUGGCGGCGUGCUUAACACAUGCAAGUCGAACGGAAAGGCCCUGCUUUUGUGGGGUGCUCGAGUGGCGAACGGGUGAGUAACACGUGAGUAACCUGCCCUUGACUUUGGGAUAACUUCAGGAAACUGGGGCUAAUACCGGAUAGGAGCUCCUGCUGCAUGGUGGGGGUUGGAAAGUUUCGGCGGUUGGGGAUGGACUCGCGGCUUAUCAGCUUGUUGGUGGGGUAGUGGCUUACCAAGGCUUUGACGGGUAGCCGGCCUGAGAGGGUGACCGGCUACAUUGGGACUGAGAUACGGCCCAGACUCCUACGGGAGGCAGCAGUGGGGAAUAUUGCACAAUGGGCGGAAGCCUGAUGCAGCAACGCCGCGUGCGGGAUGACGGCCUUCGGGUUGUAAACCGCUUUCGCCUGUGACGAAGCGUGAGUGACGGUAAUGGGUAAAGAAGCACCGACUAACUACGUG
rnacentral:rRNA from 1 species